CAUAUCUACUAGAGUAUACAAGAUACAGGCUGCAUCGAACAGUUUGAUGAUCAGAGAAUGUACAGAAUAGGUGUUGCUUUGUAACAUUGAUCUUACGCGGCUACAAAUGGAAGUUGGGGUGCUUGACAUAGCUCAGGAUGAGUUCUUACAGGCUAGGGUAUUAUGGAUAUUUGAUGGAGAAGCAAGUUCUGUUCAGAUAUUAGCAUAUAAGGUUUCAAAGGAGCAAAAUCAAAGAUAGUCGGGAAGUGCAGGUACUUGUGCAAGCAUCCUUUUAAAUCCAAACAAAUAUAUGGACAAAGUCGGGCUCCUCUGAUAAUUCUCUGUCCAUUAAACCAUGGAAGCAGAGUAGGAUAAAUCUCAGUCAUCUCGUUAUGGCUGUUUGAAUUUUGGUCCAAGAAGGAAACUCCAACACUUCGAUAAAAUACAGAUAAAUCAACAAUGUUCAAUCGGUAGCAUGCAUGUAUGCUUCAGUAGCUAACAUUGUGUUGCCAUGCAUAGAAUUUCUUACACACUACUGUAUCAUAUAUACCAAAGUUGCACGGAAAUUUAUUCCUUUGGUCUGAAAAUAAGAACAUUAAAAAAGGAAGUCCAGCUUUGAUAUUAUGAUAUAGAA